rnacentral:rRNA from 1 species
AUGAACGCUGGCGGCGUGCCUAAUACAUGCAAGUCGAACGCUUCACUUCGGUGAAGAGUGGCGAACGGGUGAGUAAUACAUAAGUAACCUGGCAUCUACAGGGGGAUAACUGAUGGAAACGUCAGCUAAGACCGCAUAGGUGUAGAGAUCGCAUGAACUCUAUAUGAAAAGUGCUACGGGACUGGUAGAUGAUGGACUUAUGGCGCAUUAGCUUGUUGGUAGGGUAACGGCCUACCAAGGCGACGAUGCGUAGCCGACCUGAGAGGGUGACCGGCCACACUGGGACUGAGACACGGCCCAGACUCCUACGGGAGGCAGCAGUAGGGAAUUUUCGGCAAUGGGGGAAACCCUGACCGAGCAACGCCGCGUGAAGGAAGAAGUAAUUCGUUAUGUAAACUUCUGUCAUAGAGGAAGAACGGUGGAUAUAGGGAAUGAUAUCCAAGUGACGGUACUCUAUAAGAAAGCCACGGCUAACUACGUGCCAGCAGCCGCGGUAAUACGUAGGUGGCGAGCGUUAUCCGGAAUUAUUGGGCGUAAAGAGGGAGCAGGCGGCACUAAGGGUCUGUGGUGAAAGAUCGAAGCUUAACUUCGGUAAGCCAUGGAAACCGUAGAGCUAGAGUGUGUGAGAGGAUCGUGGAAUUCCAUGUGUAGCGGUGAAAUGCGUAGAUAUAUGGAGGAACACCAGUGGCGAAGGCGACGAUCUGGCGCAUAACUGACGCUCAGUCCCGAAAGCGUGGGGAGCAAAUAGGAUUAGAUACCCUAGUAGUCCACGCCGUAAACGAUGAGUACUAAGUGUUGGGUGUCAAAGCUCAGUGCUGCAGUUAACGCAAUAAGUACUCCGCCUGAGUAGUACGUUCGCAAGAAUGAAACUCAAAGGAAUUGACGGGGGCCCGCACAAGCGGUGGAGCAUGUGGUUUAAUUCGAAGCAACGCGAAGAACCUUACCAGGUCUUGACAUCGAUCUAAAGGCUCCAGAGAUGGAGAGAUAGCUAUAGAGAAGACAGGUGGUGCAUGGUUGUCGUCAGCUCGUGUCGUGAGAUGUUGGGUUAAGUCCCGCAACGAGCGCAACCCUUAUCUUUAGUAGCCAGCGGUUCGGCCGGGCACUCUAGAGAGACUGCCAGGGAUAACCUGGAGGAAGGCGGGGAUGACGUCAAAUCGUCAUGCCCCUUAUGACCUGGGCUACACACGUGCUACAAUGGACAGAGCAGAGGGAAGCGAAGCCGCGAGGUGGAGCGAAACCCAUAAAACUGUUCUCAGUUCGGACUGCAGUCUGCAACUCGACUGCACGAAGAUGGAAUCGCUAGUAAUCGCGAAUCAGCAUGUCGCGGUGAAUACGUUCUCGGGCCUUGUACACACCGCCCGUCACACCAUGAGAGUCGGUAACACCCGAAGCCGGUGGCCUAACCGCAAGGAAGGAGCUGUCUAAGGUGGGACUGAUGAUUGGGGUG